rnacentral:rRNA from 1 species
GGCUCAUUAAAUCAGCUAUGGUUUAUUGGAUCAUACCCGUUAAAUGGAUAACUGUAAUAACUCUAGAGCUAAUACAUGCCACGAUGCCCUGACCCUUCCGGGAAUGGGUGCACUUAUUAGAUCAGAAGCCAACCGUGCAUGCCCGCAAGGGUGUGCAUGUUGACCUUCUGGUGACUCUGGAUAAUUGUUACAGAUCGCAGUCGGCCUUGAGUCGGCGACGGGUCCUUCAAAUGUCUGCCCUAUCAACUUUCGAUGGUAGGUGACCUGCCUACCAUGGUGAUAACGGGUAACGGGGAAUCAGGGUUCGAUUCCGGAGAGGGAGCCUGAGAAACGGCUACCACUUCCAAGGGAGGCAGCAGGCGCGCAAAUUACCCACUCCCGGUACGGGGAGGUGGUGACGAAAAAUACCGAUGCGGGACUCUCAACGAGGCUCCGUAAUCGGAAUGAGUGAACUAUAAAUCCUUUCACGAGGAUCAAUUGGAGGGCAAGUCUGGUGCCAGCAGCCGCGGUAACUCCAGCUCCAAUAGCGUAUAUUAAAGUUGCUGCAGUUAAAAAGCUCGUAGUUGGAUCUCGGUACCACUGUCGCUCGUCAGUCCUUUGGUGGAUGGCUAUGUGUGCAUGGGCACGACCUGUGUUGCCAUGGUUAUUCUGCCCGAGUUGGCGGUGUGAUGGUGUCGCCUUUCAGCCAUGUCUGUGGUGAAAUACCCUCAGGUGUAGGCGAGUGUCGGGUGUUGCCCAGCAUUAGUUGGGUUCGCCGGCUCGUCUGCAUGCCUUUGGAUGCCCUUUAAAAGGUGUCUGUGGGCGGAUGGCACGUUUACUUUGAACAAAUUUGAGUGCUCAAACCAGGCCGAUGUUGCCUGAAAAGUUUUGCAUGGAAUAAUGGAAUAGGACUUCGGUUCUAUUUCGUUGGUUUUCGGAUCCGAAGUAAUGAUCAAAAGAGACAGGCGGGGACGUUUGUAUGGCUGCGCUAGAGGUGAAAUUCAUGGACCGUAGCCAGACAAACUAAAGCGAAAGCAUUCGUCAAGCAUGUUUUCAUUGGCCAUGAGCGAAAGUCAGAGGCUCGAAGACGAUCAGAUACCGUCCUAGUUCUGACCAUAAACGAUGCCAACUGACGAUCCGUGGUGGUAGUUCAUCAACCUUCCCCACGGGCAGUCCCCGGGAAACCUUUAAGUCUUUGGGUUCCGGGGGAAGUAUGGUUGCAAAGCUGAAACUUAAAGGAAUUGACGGAAGGGCACCACCAGGAGUGGAGCCUGCGGCUUAAUUUGACUCAACACGGGAAAACUCACCCGGCCCGGACACUAUGAGGAUUGACAGAUUGAAAGCUCUUUCUUGAUUUGGUGGUUGGUGGUGCAUGGCCGUUCUUAGUUGGUGGAGCGAUUUGUCUGGUUAAUUCCGAUAACGAACGAGACUCCUGCCUGCUAAUUAGUGCACUUGUCAACUGUACUUGUGUAAGCGGUGUUUGGCGAGGCUGCUUUCAUAUGUCGCGAGGAGUCGCGGUGGGUUCCUUCGGGGGCUCAUCGUCUCUGAGUGGCGAGGGUGGCUGGUCCGGCACUAGCUUCCGGGUGCGGAGCGGGUGUCUACUUCUUAGAGGGACAAGCGGGAGAAGCCGCACGAAAUGGAGCAAUAACAGGUCUGUGAUGCCCUUAGAUGUCCGGGGCCGCACGCGCGCUACAAUGACGGUGGCAAUGAGUCUGACCUUCUGGCCCGAAAGGGUUGGGCAAACUGGUCAAUCACCGUCAUGACAGGGAUCGGGGCUUGGAAUUGUUCCCCGUGAACGAGGAAUUCCUAGUAAGUGCAAGUCAUAAGCUUGCGCUGAUUACGUCCCUGCCCUUUGUACACACCGCCCGUCGCUACUACCGAUUGAAUGGUUUAGUAAGGUCCUUGGAUUGGCGCCAUUGUGGUGGUUGCCGAAAGGUAAUCUGCCCGACAGGUGCUGAGAAGACGACCAAACUUGAUCAUUUAGAGGAAGUAAAAGUCGUA